UACGAAGGGGGCUAGCGUUGUUCGGAAUUACUGGGCGUAAAGCGUGCGCAGGCGGCUUCUCAAGUCAGGGGUGAAAGCCCAGAGCUUAACUCUGGAAUUGCCUUUGAGACUGAGAGGCUUGAGUACGGAAGAGGCGAGUGGAAUUCCUGGUGUAGCGGUGGAAUGCGCAGAUAUCAGGAGGAACACCGGUGGCGAAGGCGGUUCUCUGGGCCUUACCUGACGCUGAGGAGCGAAAGCGUGGGGAGCAAACAGG
rnacentral:rRNA from 1 species